rnacentral:tRNA from 1 species
AGGGCUAUAGCUCAGUUGGUAGAGCACCUCGUUUACACAAUCAGUUUGAUCUGUUUUACCGAGAAGGUCUACGGUUCGAGUCCGUAUAGCCCUA